GUGCUCACUUUGGCAGCACAUAUACUUAAAUUGGAAUGAUACAAAGAAGAUUAGCAUGGCCCCUGCUCAAGGAUGACAUGCAAAUUGGUGAAGCAUUUCAUGUUUUA
rnacentral:snRNA from 1 species